CCUCAUAUUUCCCCUCUCACUGCCCUGUCCUGUGAUUGUCUGACUCCACACCACACUGCGUGCUUCUAAAGACCCAGGUCUGACCCCUCUCAGAGGCUCCAGAACCCAAGUCAAGGGCAUGGCACACGUCAGCAUCUGAGGAGCUGGCCUAGAGAAGAAAAGGGACUUGAGGCACAGAGAGAGAAAGCAGGGACAGGGUAGAAGUAGGGCUUGAGCCCAGAUCCCCUAAAGCCCAUGAUUUGUCCCCCACACACCCAAAGCAAGGGAUGGAGGAACUGGGGAGUCCCAAGGCUCACAUGAGCUAUUUCCCACUCUACCCACUGCUGUGAAACAUGCGGAGAGCUAAAGAUUUCGUAAUCUGGAGCUAGCCCCUGCCCAUCUGUACAAUGGGAGGCGUCAGUCAGUGACUCUCAAACCCUUUUAACCUGAUGCAUAUAAGAAAUUCACUUUACAUCGUGAUCUGGUCCACAAUACAUACAUACAUAGGUAACUGAAACAAACAUUUUAUGAAAGAAUAGUUAGCUCUACUAUUGGCAGUGCACUUUUCCUAUUCCAUUUAUUUAUUUAUCCUUUUCAAUGCCAGCUGUGAUUCAAUAACUGACUACAUGGCCCACAGGUCCUUUUCAGCCCCAACAUCCUGUGACUGGCUGAAUGGGAAUCCCUGACAGCUGUCUCUGGUCCUGGCUCAGCGUAACCGGGCCAAGCCGAGCGCCUGCCCGAGCUGGCGUUUCCCCCGCGCACCCUGAGAGGACAGACCCGCGGGCUCGACGGGCUUCCCACAGAUGCUUCAGGCGCGGUCCUCGAUGCCAGGGGAACACUGCCCGGUGACCUGCAAAUAAUCUCUGAGGAUGGAGCGGUGUGCUGCCUCUGCUUCCCGGUGGGCGAGGUUACUACAUCCGGGGCAUCCACCAGCCCCCUUGUCCUAGGCCAGUGUAGCAGGAAGUGUGAGCAGAGGAGUGUAAACAUGUUGGUGUAUGAGCUAGCCGCGCAGGGAAAGGAAGAGGCAAGCAAGGAAGCCAGAGGACGAAGACAUUUAAAAGUCCAGUGGAAAAGACGCAAUGUGAGAGCCCCAAAAAGGGGAAGAGCUCGGGAACCGUCUAGUUCCAGGUUAAACCCCAGCAGGCUUCAGAGCCCGGACAAAUGACUUUUCUCUGACCGGUGGCUCUCAUUUAUAAACAUUGGCGCUCUUGUGGGCCUGUCCAUAGCAGCGGUCGUGCUCCUGGCCUUCAUCGUCACUGUCUGUGUGCUUUGUUACCUGUUCAUCAGCUCAAAGCCCCUCACGAAGUUGGACCCAGGUUUAAGUUUACAGACUACAGGCAGAAGAAACAGCACAAGGCGACACCCAGAGAUGUGAAGGAAACAAUGAAAAUUUUGGUGUGGCAAAGCAAAGAGUUCUUGAGGGAAGAGUGGUUAGUAACAAAGCUGAAGAGAAGGGAUGGGACCAGGACACAAAGAGCCUUGAAUGCCACCUCAAGGAUCACAGGUAAUGGGAAGACGUUGAAGGCUUUUAAGAAAGAACAGUACAUGAACUCAACCUUAGAAAGAUCUCUCUGGCUACAGCCUGGAGGAUGGACUGAAAGGGGCCCGACUGGAAGCUGUUCCAGUGGUCUGGGCAGAAGAAAAUGAAAGCCUUACCUAAGGUGGUGGCCUUGAGCGUGUCUGAGAGAAAUGGGUGGAUAUGGCAGAUGGUGGUUUGGUGGCAUCAGCAGGACCUGCUGAAUUGCUUGGCUUUGUGAAGGGGUUGAGGAGAAGGGUGAGAGAUGCUCACAUUCCUUGAGCUUGAACACUUGAUAUACUUUUUAUCUGAAAGGCAGGAAUGCUCAAUUGUGCCACAUGCUCCUGAUAAGUCAAGGGACAUAAGGAUUUAUGUGACCGUGGGAUUUAGUGACAAAACAUUGUAAGUAUGUUGGGGGCAGAAACCAAGUAACCUGCAACAGAAUAAGUCAUGAAUGGGAAGUGAGGAAUAAUAAAGCCAAGUGAGCUUCCUUUUAAGCUCAGAUAUAAGAGGAGGAUAAAGCAGUAGAUGAAGAGAGUCAUGGCAUCUAUUCUUAAAGCAGAGAAAAAGGUACGUUUUUAAGUUUCCAGCACUUCUCUGCAUACUAGCCAUGCAGUAAGCCUUUAUCCUCGUCUAUGAAAUGAGUUUUUAACAGUACCGACCUCAUAGGUCUAUGGUCAAGGUGCAGUCUUCAUCUCUCCUAACAAUUGUUUAUUGUGCUUCUUCUCCACUCAACUUUAAGUUCAUGAGAAGCAUUCACAGUUCCUAGUGCAUGAUGUGGCAUAUCGUUAAUAAAUGUUUGUUAAACGAAUGAUGCAUUUAAGACUCUGAGCACAGUCCUGCCCAAGGUAAGCACUCAGGGAAGUCAGCCAGGGCUUGUGUCCUGGUGGGGAGGAAGGGGCUACAGGAGGAAGCCCCAUGUCCCCAGCUUGCUGUUUUCCAGACGCCGAGGAGGUGCCCCCUGAUCGCCAAGGUGGGAACAUGGGCGGUUCGGUGGAGGUGGCAGGAGUGAGCCCUCUGGGGAAGAGUCACCCUUUUCUGAACCCACGGCUGGACUGCAACACGGAC